rnacentral:rRNA from 1 species
GACGGAGGAUGCAAGCGUUACCCGGAAUGAUUGGGCGUAAAGCGGUCGCAGGUGGCUGUUCAAGUCUGCUGUCAAAGACCGGGGCUUAACCCUAGAAAGGCAGUGGAAACUGAACGGCUGGAGUGCAGUAGGGGUAGAGGGAAUUCCCAGUGUAGCGGUGAAAUGCGUAGAGAUUGGGAAGAACACCGGUGGCGAAAGCGCUCUGCUGGACUGCAACUGACACUGAGGGACGAAAGCUAGGGGAGCGAAAGUG